AGCGUCCGGCGACGGGCCUGUCCUGAGGAAAGUCCGGGCUUCACAGAGGCAUGGCAACUGCUAACGGCAGCCGGGGGUGACCCCAGGGAAAGUGCAACAGAAAUAGACCGCCGCCCCACGGGGCGGUAAGGAUGGAAAGGCGAGGUAAGAGCUCACCAGCGCACUGGCGACUUUGCGGCUAUGUAAACCCUGUCAGAAGCAACAUCCGUAUGGGACAUUAUGUGGAAGCCUCGCACGUCCCGGAGAUGGCAUGUCACAAAACCCCCGCGGUUUUUGUGCGGAGCCUUGCGGCAACGCAAGGUCAAGAUAGAUCGUCGUUUAAUACAGAACCCGGCUUACGGUCCAGUCG
rnacentral:RNase_P_RNA from 1 species